rnacentral:lncRNA from 1 species
CCUCGCUCCCGCGACUCCGCUGCGGGUCUGCACACCCGAGGACUCGGUUUGAAACGCCCGCUUAUUUAUUUUCUUGUCGCCUCGCUACAAGAUUCUAUCCUUGUUUGGGCAUGAGUGGGGGGCGGCAGUCUCGUGGGACCGGCGGCAUUCGUCGUUCCUCCUUACGGGGAUAAUUCGAGAAGUGCGGUCCGGGUAGGGAGAGAAAUCAGGAGAGAAAAUGAGAAAGAGAAUCCUCGUUUCCCCUCAAAGUUGGACGACCCACUCGUAUAUCUCCUUUUUGGGAGAUUCGCCCAUAACUCAGCACAAACAGGGAAUAGCCCGGAAAGCGCGCGAGUUCCCGUCCGAUUGUGGCGGGGGAGGCUGAACGUUUGGUCCACACGGGUGCAGGACGCGGGGGUCAGGCCUCCUGCUGCGGAGGAAGAGGGGGAAGAGGCCGCGCGGGAGGGACUUCUGACACGCGCCACUGUUUUUGUUUUCAAACAGGGGUACUUAACCGAAACUAGCAAUCCCAGGCGGUACAAGGCCCUCCAUCGUAGGCAAAGCACUACCUGAAUGUAGAUUUGGGCCAUACGUUGGAAAAUAAGACAUGAGAGUAUGCUCCGAUCAACUUUUACUGUUCACUGGACAACUAUUUUGGGAAUUUGCAGACCUAUAAAGCCCAUCUAUAAAUCUCAAGCAUGUCCACUUUCAGAGAAGAGAAAUGCUGACAACCAUUUAGUCUCUGAGGACAACACUUUUAAAGUGUAACAAUGUGGCAUCCAGAGCUUAUCCAGAUGAGCGGAGAGCAAAUGAAUUUCCUUCUGCUCCCCUGUUGAAGAGGAGAGAAAAAUUCUUCAAGCUGGAGAACUACUUGAUCUUAA